CUGCAAAUAGUGACAGUUUGACUUCUUCAUUACCAACGUGGAUGCCAUCCAGUUCUAAUCCUGCCCCCUAAAGUCAUUACAGCAUCUUGUACAUUGCCUCCUGGAUUUCAUGAUUCCCACUAUAAAUUCUCUAGAGAGCACCAGAUGGUUUCAAGGAAGUCACCCCACAAACCUGACUGAACGUCUGUUGUUUCUUACAAGAUGGUGAAGUGCCCUUAUAGGUGGUCAAGGGAGGCUUUUCUGAGACGGUGACAUUUAAAAGCAGUUAUUUGCUUGCUCUGUAGAAAAUGACCUGGAGGAGACCCAUCUAACAGUAACACGUGAGUUACAGAGUUGACCAGAUGGCUGGACUCUGUUCCUACUGUCUCUCUUGGAGUCAUUCACUGAGCAAACAUUUCCUUAGCACCAUGUGAUGUCCCCUCUUUGGAGUGUGAAUAUUCUUGUGGAUGAAGACACAGCAUCCCCUCCAGAGGCGAUGCAGGGGCUGCUUGACAGGGUUCACUUGGUAUUUGGGGAGUCACAGGCUGGAAAGGUUGUCCUGGCUCUCUUCUUCAUUUAGCAGCACUGUGGCAGUGCCAGUCCCCCUGGAGAGGCCUGGGAGGGUCCUGACACUCUAAUUUGUGAUUUUGUCAAGGUUCCAGAAGCAAGUUAUUAAGCUAAAAAUGAGUGUGGAGAAGAGUGCCUUCUGAGAAACAGGUCCUGAGCGGAAAGUGGAACUCUUUAACCCAUCCAGUCCCACUACCACCAAAGUCCCAAAGGGAAAGGAUUGCAGCAGCCCCACACCUCCCCCUAUACUGGGAAGAAGCUUCAGCAGGGGGCUGCUGGGCCUGAGGCUCCCAUUCAGGAUAGGAAAGCAGAAGACUCAUACCCUUCUGGUGGAGGUGGACCCUGAGGGCUCACUGGUUGGUAGGGGAAGGGGUCAAGAGCCAGGAGGCUGGGGCUGGGACUGGGACUGGAUGUUGCUCCUCCAGAGCCUAUAGGAGCAUCUUGGGCAAAUCUGGGUGCUUUUCCUUAGGGGUUACUUUCGCUAGAAGAAUGAUUCCUGCAUUGAAGUUGUGGCACAAACCUGGGGAAGCCAUCCACAGGCCAUGAUGGCCUCGUGUACCAUGGCCCAUGAGGCUUGUCACCAGGCUCCAGUCUAGUUCCAACAGGAAUAGAAACAAAGGGUCUGCUCCAAGCAAGCUUCUGAGAGAGACUGUGACAGGAGGAUAAAAGGCCAGGAGAAUCCACCGUCAGCAUUCCAGCCCCUGCAGCCCCAGGUGGGGUGAAUUCCUAGAGAGGUUCCCGGCAGAGCUGGCCUGCCCCCUCCCCUUCCUGGUCUGGCUGCUGACCAUCCAGGCAGGUGCCUGUCACCUCUGGCAGAGAAGAGCAGCCAGGGUCCCAGCGAGGCUGACAUCAGGACUGGAAGCUUAGGGCCCUGAUCUAGCCAUAUACCUAUAGCCACAGUGAGAGCAGGGGAGCCAGCACAAGCCCCGAUCAGAACAGGCCAACAUAUUAAACAUGAAAGAACUCCGAGUGCUCCCAGUGUAAUGACUUUUGCCCCCACUGCCCAGGGGUAGAGGCUAGUGGAUUGAUUGGGGGAAUGACCCAGGCAGUCGCUGGGGAGAGAGCAUCCUUACCUACAAGGUGACUGGUGACCUGUCAAGGUUCAGCUAAUACAAAGAAUUACUCCUAUGCAAAGGGUGUAUACUGGAUCGGAACUCUGGGGGCAAAAUAAGUUCCCAGCCUGGGGCAAAUUACCUUUGAAGCUGAAAUUAAAGGGAGAAAUAAAGUGAGAGAAACUUGUUUAUUGCUUACCAGGAGUCAUCCACUUCUGCUUGCCAGUGUCUCUUGCAACCCAGCUGUAAAAGCCGACCCCUCCAAACCUCGCUGGUCCAGAUACACCCUUACUCCCCCCACCUUUGUAAUCACUUAUUCAUAUGGAGAUGGAUUACUUCUCUCCACCCCUUGGAAACACCUAUUGAUGUGGAGAUGCACUAAGGCCAGGCGAGAGAUUCUCGAAAUAUUGCAAAUUUAUCCAUAUGGAUACUGAAUACUUUUUGCUGUGUUGAAUAAUU